CACGGGGGUUGCGAGCGUUGUCCGGAAUUACUGGGCGUAAAGGGCGCGCAGGCUGUGCUGCAAGUCAGCUGUUAAAUGUCUGGGCUUAACCCGGGCAUGCGGUUGAGACUGCGGUGCUGGAGUGCUGUAGAGGCAAGUGGAAUUCCCAGUGUAGCGGUGAAAUGCGUAGAUAUUGGGAAGAACACCGGUGGCGAAGGCGACUUGCUGGGCAGCAACUGACGCUGAGGCGCGAAAGCCAGGGGAGCAAACGGGAUUAGAUACCCCGGUAGUCCUGGCCGUAAACGAUGAAUGCUAGGUGUGGGUGUAGAGAUACAUUCGUGCCGGAGUUAACGCGAUAAGCAUUCCGCCUGGGGAGUACGGUCGCAAGAUUGAA
rnacentral:rRNA from 1 species